AUCUCAUUCAAAAUUUCACAAGAUUAUGUAAUAUAAAUUUGCGAAAAAUUAAAACUAGAUGGACUACACUACUUGCCCCAAGGUGCAAACCAAAAUAAUAAGUUGGCAUAGUUUAAUUAGGGAAUCUUUUGAACUAAUCAUUUGGCAUAGCCCAUAUGGCAUCUGACACACAUUACAAAUACUUUGUUUUCACUUUUCACCAUUAGAUUUUUUUAUUUUAUUUUUACUUUUCUUGGGUUUGAGACUCCUUCUCCUUGCCUUCUUUAAUUCUUGUUGCACUCACGCCUUCUUAGUGGUAAACCAAACCCUACCAAUUUCUCCACUGAAACUCUGGCGAUGGAAUUCCAAGAAAUUUUCAUAGUGGCAACAAGCACUGUAGGCUUCAUCUCUCUUUGUAAACCCAUCAUCAGUUUUCUCAGAUGGGUAUGGGUCGUGUUUCUGAGACCCCCAAAGAAUCUCAAGGACUAUGGCUCAUGGGCUCUCAUCACUGGCUCCACUGAUGGAAUUGGAAAAGCCCUUGCCUUUGAAAUGGCUUCAAAGGGUCUUAACCUUGUCUUGGUUGGUCGAAACCCUUCAAAGCUUGAAGCUACCUCCACUGAAUUACAUGAAAAAUAUGGUGGACAAAUUCAGAAUAAGAACAUUGUCAUUGACUUGGCCAAGUUCAGUGGGGAGGAGAUAGGAAAUGCCAUAGAGGAAGGAAUAAAAGGCCUUGAUGUUGGCAUUUUGAUUAAUAAUGCAGGGGUGGCUACCCUUAUGCCAGGUUUUUUCAUGAGGUUGAUUUGGAGCUGAUGGAGAGCACCAUGAAGGUGAACAUAGAGGGGGCCACUUGGGUGACUAAGGCAGUGCUUCCAAUUAUGCUUAAGAAGAAGAAAGGAGCAAUUGUCAACAUUGGCUCUGCUUCCUCUGAGAUUCUCCCUUCUUACCCUCUUUACACUGUUUAUGCUGCCUCCAAAGCGUACAUUUCAAUGUUCUCAAAAUCCAUUAGUUUGGAAUACAAGAAGCAUGGAAUUGACGUUCAGUGUCAGAUUCCUAUGUUGGUGGCAACAAAGAUGACAAAGUUAAAGCCAUCUUCAUUCUUCGUUGCAUCACCAGAGAUGUACAGCAAAGCAAGCAUGAGAUGGAUUGGCUAUGAGCAUCUCUGCACACCCUAUUGGGGUCACUCUGUGCAGUGGCUCAUAAUACAUGUUUUGCCUGAUGUGUUAUUGAAUGCCAUCAUCCUUAGGUACUUCAUUGGGAUGCGAAGGAGAGGCCAAUUGAAGGAGGCACAGAACAAAAGUAAACAAAUGUAGCCAGCAACAGAAAAAUUUAUGAGUUGCAUUUGAUGCAGCAUUGAAAUUGUGCUCAACUAGAGAUUACUUUUUCUGGAUGAAUAAAUUUACAACUAAUUUGAUGGUUU